AUCUUUGCGCUUGGGGUAAUGACGCAGCUAGUGAGGUUCUAAUCAAUGCUCAUAUUUUGCUGGUUGAUAUCUAUUUCCAAACCCCCUCGUUGUCCUUCUACUUUUAUCUAGAAGUCUUUAAACCACCUAUUUUG
rnacentral:snRNA from 1 species